AAAUUGAAGAGUUUGAUCAUGGCUCAGAUUGAACGCUGGCGGCAGGCCUAACACAUGCAAGUCGAACGGUAACAGGAAGCAGCUUGCUGCUUCGCUGACGAGUGGCGGACGGGUGAGUAAUGUC
rnacentral:rRNA from 4 species